CUGACGUACACCACUUAAUUGUUUUCUCUGUAGUUCACUUUCCAUUCUGUGUGGAUACUGUGAAGAUAUAGGAGACUCCUGCCAGCUCAGGACACAAGGAAGACUCGAUGUGAAGGGUUUCUUACAACAGACAAGCUUCUUAGUUCAACUGAGAAAAAGCACCUACCUCAAGUCCGCUGAUUUUAUCCCCACUUGACGAGGACACAAUGCUGUCUGAGGAGUUUCCUGAAGAGCCAGAGUCCGAGCCUGGGCCUGUAGACUUGAUCCAUGCUGCACAUCGACCAGAGGAUCUGUUGUGGCAGUUCACUGAUGAGGUACUGAGCAAAUUUCUGUAGCUGAUCUCUCUGUAGCCGUGACAAUGACUCGCU